rnacentral:lncRNA from 1 species
UUCGAUACAGCAACAGCAACUGGCAUUGGUGCCUCAACUGGGCCUGCAGUAAUAUUGGGCUUUGAAAUCUUGGGUGGACGUCCACGACCUCUUUUAACUAACCCAGAUCCAACAGCCUUAAUGGGUUUAGGCUUCAUAAUCUUAGGUGGACGCCCACGGCCUCUGUUAGCUAACCCAGAUCCAACAGCCUUAAUGGGCUUGGGCUUCAUAACCUUAGGUGGACGCCCACGACCUCUUUUCACAACAGGACUACCAGAAGUUGGAACUACCGGAACAGUUGUUACGACGGU